AAAUGAUGAACAAAUAAAGAAAAGAAAACAAAAAAACUGUAAGUGAAUGAUUGAAUCUUAAAAUUCUAAAGUAAAUUAUUAGUUAUAUAUUUUAAAAAAAAAAGAAUAAUAAAAUUUUGCAAAGAAAAUACAUAAAGUUAUAAUAUGUCAAGGAUAUUUUUGUAAACAAAUAAUAUUCUUUUAAAAAUAUAACAAUACAUAUUAUUUUUAAUAUAUCAUAUUAAACACUGUAUAAAAAAUAAUCCCAAUAUUACUAAUUCUUAUACUACUAAUCCCCAUAUUAAUAAUACAACCUAUUCAAUAUUAUCUUAUACAUCCUAUCAAACUAUCCUUCAUGGAUAAUCAGAAUCACCAAAUUAAUGAUUCAAUCACAAUGAAUCAUCACCUAUAUUUUUAUUACAAUAAAAUAUUCUGUAAACAUCAUAGAUGUUAAGGGCGUGGUUCUUCACCAAUUCAUUUGAAUCCAAUUAGGAUGAAUCAUAGCGUAUAUUUAUAUCACAAUAGAUUGUCUGAAUCAUAUAGGUUAAAGGCGCAGUCCUUCACCAAAUUGGUUUGACUGUGAAAUGCGUAAUACACUGAAUUGUUCUAAUAACAAAGAACCAAUAGUAAUACAAUAAUUUGAGAGAGAGAAACAAAAUUCCAAACUUAAAUAUAUUCAUCAUGGAGAUGAAAAUGAUACAACAGCCAAACAAAACAUUAAAAUAUAAUCCUCUCUCAUUUUUCUCCAUCUAAAACUUAGGAGAUUAUUCCAUUACAUAGAGAGAAUUACAACACAAACAACUCAAGAAAAGAAAAUUCACACAUAAUACUAAUAACAGAAGUAUAGAUCUGAGUUAAAAAUUACAGAAUCUCACAACUUCAAAUUUUAAAAAAGCAAGCACUAAUUACCCUUUUAUUUUAUUGCCCUAUCAUACAUGAUAAAAAGGCAAAAUUAAUACCACAAAUUUAAACAAACUUAAAGACUCUCUCUCCUUAUACACACAUACAUAUAUCUAGAUGAAUAAGUUGUUCUGAACUAUUCAUGCAGUUGGUGGUGAACUAAUGGAAGCCACCAUGGUGGUGGUGAUGGUGGAACUGGUAUUAGAGCCAUCUCCACCGCCCCCAUCAUCAUCAUUUCCUUUGAAAAGAGGUUCCUCUAAAGUAUCUUUAGAGGAAAAUAUAGAGGCUACACUCUCAAGAAAGCUCUCAAAAAUUUGAGCUUUGAUUUGACCUCUUUUAGGUGGAAUUCCUUUGUUUUUUCUAUUCUGUUGGGAGUUUGGUGUUGUAGUUGCAGCCAUCAAGAAAAUAUUUUAAGGAAGAAUUUGUGGAGAAAUUCAAGUAGGGUGGGGUGGGGUGGGGUAUUUAAAGAAUCAGGGAAUUAUGAGGGUGGAUAAAGCUCCAUGAGAGAAGAGAAAGAAAGGAGCUAAGGGAAAGGAGAAGGAAAUGAGAAAAGAGGAGAAAUAAUAUACACGUGGUGAAAAUGCUCAUUUUAUAGUGUCACAGCUUGCAACUUGUGGAAAAUAUUUUGAUGGGAUUUUCGAAGAAACUUUUGUUCAAGUCUACUAUACGGACACGAAACUAGCU
rnacentral:lncRNA from 1 species